GAUGAACGCUGGCGGCGCGCCUAACACAUGCAAGUCGAACGGCACCCCUCUCCGGAGGGAAGCGAGUGGCGAACGGCUGAGUAACACGUGGAGAACCUGCCCCCUCCCCCGGGAUAGCCGCCCGAAAGGACGGGUAAUACCGGAUACCCCCGGGCGCCGCAUGGCGCCCGGGCUAAAGCCCCGACGGGAGGGGAUGGCUCCGCGGCCCAUCAGGUAGACGGCGGGGUGACGGCCCACCGUGCCGACAACGGGUAGCCGGGUUGAGAGACCGACCGGCCAGAUUGGGACUGAGACACGGCCCAGACUCCUACGGGAGGCAGCAGUGGGGAAUCUUGCGCAAUGGGGGGAACCCUGACGCAGCGACGCCGCGUGCGGGACGGAGGCCUUCGGGUCGUAAACCGCUUUCAGCAGGGAAGAGUCAAGACUGUACCUGCAGAAGAAGCCC
rnacentral:rRNA from 1 species